GAAGGUGUGGCUCAUUGGUAAGAGUGCCUGCCUGGCAAGCACAGGGACUUGAGUUCAAACCCCAGCACCACCA
rnacentral:tRNA from 1 species